GACAGGCCAGACUUAGUUGAGGACGACUACAUAGUUUGAACCUACUGCCUGAUGAUUACGCCACGCCUGAAAACAUUUUACCUAUGAGAAUCCCCCACCCCAAAAUGAACAUGGCAGACGUUAACUUGACUUUUGAAAUACAACAUAUGUAAAAAGGUAUCUAUAAUAGACGGGGAACGACGUAUAGAAAUUGUUGAUUGUCCUGGUCUGCAAGACGGUGAAGACGCAUCGGUAUUUGCCUUUGAACAGCUAAAAAGGGCAAUACUUGAGACACACCCUGGCUGCAAUGCAAUCUUCUCCAGAGAGAUUCAAUGAAAGCAUGGCAAAAACUGUUGACAAUUUCCUUAAGUUUGUCGGCGAUGACGUAAAGGAGUUUGCUUUUCUUGUGUUUAUCCACACAUCGGAAGAAAAUGAAUUAAACAAGUACUUAGCAGAUUUAAGGGAUCCCACUGAUGAAAAUAUGAAAGUAUUUAACAGGUUGAUUGAGAAAUGUGGAAACAAGAUCUUACAUAUCGACAAUAAAUUGAAAGGAUCAGGUAAAACACAACAGAUCAACAAAAUAUUGACGGAAGUAGACAACAACUUAAACCGAAUUCAAAAAACACAAUAUACAAAUCCGAUGUUCCAGGAAGCCGUUGCUGUAGCUGAGAAGUUGAUUCAGGAAAAAACUGAACACGAUCGUCAUAUAGAGCAGGCGAAAAAAGAAAAGAUCAGAGACGACGAGAGAAAGAAAUGUGAGCAAGAGUUCAAGAUUCAGCGCCGGUAUGAUACUUUCAAACAACGUCAAGCAGACAAAGCGAUCAAAGAUAAAGAGAAAAAUAAAUGUAAGCAAGAGUUCCAAAAUCAGCGACGAUAUGACAGAUUAGCAGAUUCGGUAUACGAUAAUAAGCUAGCUUACAUCGUGAAUCCUGUAGGCAGUUUUUCAAAUUAUUGGCUUACAUCCAAGCGUAGAUAUAAACACAAUAAAGGGAAAUCGAGGAAUUAAUUAGCAACGAUAUAAGGACAAUUUUGUCUACGUGGAUGUUUUGUUAGACACAUUAAUUCAAAUAGUCUUUUCGUCAUUCUUCCUGUUAUCGAAUUUGCAGGAUCUGGUUUUGACAUCAGUUAUCCAUAAGAUAUAAUUCAGUCCAACCCGAAAGCUAGUGUACCAAUGUAUAUAUAUAUACUGUGAAAUAAGUUGUUGAAGUAAGUAUCUAUCUGAACUAGAACUUCUGUUGUUGGUCAACAUAAGAGUUGGUAUGACGAUGACAGUUGCUCCAAUAUACCUUAUAUUCUAUGAAUUAUGUCAACCUUUUGGGUUGAUAUGACGUUGAUUAUGCCUAUGAUAUACACUAUCUUCUAGAAAUUAUGUUAUAAGUCAACUUAUGUAUUGAUAUGACUUUAAUUGUGACUAUGAUGUAGCUUAUAUUCUAGAAAUUAUGUUGUAAGUAAAAUUAUGGAUUGAUUUGACUUUGAUUAUGACUAUGAUGUAGCUUAUAUUCUAGAAAUUAUGUUGUAAGUCAACUUAUGUAUUGAAAUGACGUUGAUUAUGACUAUGAUGUACCUUAUAUUCUAGAAAUUAUGUUGUAAGUGAACGUAUGAAUUGAUAUGACUUUGAUUAUGACUAUGAUGUACUUUAUAUUCUAGAAACUAUUUUGUAAGUCAACUUUGAGAUAGACAUGACGUUGAUUAUGACUAUGAUGUAGCUUAUAUACAGGAAAUUAUGUUGUAAAGGGAAGGUUUGGGUGUAUAUGACGUUGAUUAUAACUAUGAUGUAGCUUAUAUUCUAAGCAUUAUGUUGUAAGUCAACUUUUUGAUUGAUAUGACGUUGAUUAUGACUAUGAUGUAGCUUAUAUACUAGAAAUUUUGUUGUUGGUCAACUUAUGGGUUGAUAUGACGUGAAUUAUGACUCCGAUAUAGCUAAUAUGCUAGACAUUAUGUUUAUUCACUUAUGAGUUGAUAUGACGUUGAAAUUGGCUCCGAUACUCAUUAUGCGCCAGCAAAAUGCAGUGAAUAAACGUAAUAAUUUA